rnacentral:ncRNA from 1 species
CCUGAAUAUAAAAAUCACAAUGUAACCUACGUAUAUUUAAAUAAAUUUAGAAAAGUUACCACAGGGAUAACUGGAUUGUGGCAGCCAAGCAUUCAUAGCGACGUUGCUUUUUGAUCCUUCGAUGUCGGCUCUUCCUAUCAUUGUGAAGUAGAAUUCACCAAGUGUUGGAUUGUUCACUCACCAAUAGGGAACGUGAGCUGGGUUUAGACCGUUGUGAGAGAAAAG